CAUCAUGCCCCUUAUGACCUCGGGCUACACACGUGCUACAAUGGUUGGUACAACGAGUUGCGAGUCGGUGACGGCGAGCUAAUCUCUUAAAGCCAAUCUCAGUUCGGAUUGUAGGCUGCAACUCGCCUACAUGAAGUCGGAAUCGCUAGUAAUCGCGGAUCAGCACGCCGCGGUGAAUACGUUCCCGGGCCUU
rnacentral:rRNA from 1 species